UAAAAACAAGAACAAGAUUAGAUUAAGCUUCCUAGGUCUGUUUACCAUAAAAUACUUCGCAUUUUCGAGCGUCUUGAUCGCCAAAUCUAGAAUUUUGAUCACUUUUUGGAUGACUACACUUUGUGGUGGAUUUAACCAAAAUGAACGGCAACGUUUGCACAAUUCAAUUAAGACUUUCUCAAAUGUAUAUUGACUAACGGCCGUAGGAGAUGAUAGCUUUUUUCUCCUCUUAGAUAAAUUUCCCGCAUCACUAUCACUAGUCUCCGUUUUGCGGUUUCUGGAACGAUUUGGUGUGUUGUUUAUUAUGUUCUCAUUAUCACUUGCCAUUUUUAAAACAAGGCAAAAAAAUUCCAGAUUAAUACUCAGACAAAUUUGUUAGCGUUGGUGCGUUGUGAACACAACAUAAAUAUGGUAUAUUCGGAAAUCGGCGAAUUCCGAAAGAAAUCUGAAUAUUUUUUUCUAAUAUUUUACAGUUCAUGCAAUCAAAUUACUCCUGGUUUUCCAUAAUUGACAAAAUAAAAUCAUUGUUCGUUCAGUGGAUGGUUAAAUGUCUAUCGAAUGAAUAUGAGACGCCGUCGCAAUGCAUGACAUUAGUCAAUGCACGGUUCAAUCUGUCAACGAAUUCUAAAUUGAAACAUUUCAAAUUAACUGAAUGUGAAAGAAACAAUAUUCGUCAAUCAACCCUUUUUUCGGUAUCUUUCAUUCAACAUCUCAAGCUGAAUGCAAUCAAUUUAUUCAUAUAAAACGGAUUGAUUCAAAUGCAAAGAAAACCUGAGCAUUUCCAAUAUGCAAACAACGAUUUAAAUGGCAUUUUUAAAUUAGCUACAGAGUUUAAUUGUUGAAAUUGAUUGUGCAUGAUCAAUAUUCAGUUCACGAUAGAAAAUAAAUAAAUAGUUCAGUGGUUUGAUUCAAGUUUAAACGUGGUGCUCGCAAUUAAUUUAGCAAACAGCUGUGGACACAAUACAUGAGGUCAUCUCUAAGCCUCAAAUAGAAUGUGGCCCAAACUAUUGGAAUUAACGCGUCCAGGUGCGCUUAGGCGUUUGGAAUUGGAGUCGUAUUCGAAUGUGGUGGGUGCAUUUCGAGCGCAGGGAACAUUGAAUGCCGUAAAAUUGAGAAUUUUAAAAGAUCUGCGGGAAGCAUUUCAUACAACUGAUGCCCGGCACAAGGCAAAAGUUAGACGAGUUGUGAACGAUGAAUCUCUAUCGACGAUAGCAAAAAUGUACAUUAAUUGAUGUUGCGGAUUUCUGGACCAAAUAGUGGAAUUGAAUGAAACAAAGAAGGCAGUCGAGGUUUCUUGAUAAUAAAUCGUAAACCAUCACAAACGGCUUUGCUUCGGUCGCUGAUAAAGCCAAUGAAUUGGGCGAAACAACCGUCCGACACUUCGAGAGAUAGUGUGUUUCAGGUGGACAACGAUGCAAAUGUUGCGGAUAAAAUCGUCGAUACUGAUCCAAGCAGCAACCAUCCGAAAGCAAAGAGUAAACCGGAGAAAGCGAGUGUAGCUGCGGUGCCGGCCAAAGCCGAUGCAAAUCGUGUGGAAUUGAGUUCUUCAGCGACAAGAAAGCAACGUGAAUCAAAUAAACAUUGCGCUCCAACGGAGCAGCCGGCCUUAAAAAUCCCCCCAACACAAACGCCGAAAGUGGAAAACGUACAAAUGCCAAUGCCAAAGCCAAGCACGGCAAAUAUUCGUCGACGCAAAAGUACAACAUCCUUGGCAAAUCACAAUGCACCAGCACCCAAAGCGAUGCUGCUAACAAGCCGACGAGAUACAAUGAUUGAAACGAGCCGGGAACGAAUUAGAGAGACACCACAUUCAAUAGAACAACUACAACCACCACUGGCACCAGAGCCAUUCCUAGCGGGGGUUCAAGGGGUUCAAAGAACCAGGGCGUAGGAGCACCGAAGGCGCUCGGGAGGCGCUUGAUAUUUUUAAAUUGUCGAAUUUACUGGAAAUAAGCGCGAGAGCGCUUUUCCCUUAAACUGAAAAUUUUCGAUGUUUUUAAAUGAGGCGUAAAAUUGCCGAAAGCGCUCGAACGCUCUUUUUUAUACAUAUUUCUUCUCAGUUCAGAAUUCAAGGGCGCCAAAGGGAA